rnacentral:rRNA from 2 species
CUAGGUCGGAUUAGCUAGUUGGUGAGGUAAAGGCUCACCAAGGCGACGAUCCGUAACUGGUCUGAGAGGAUGAUCAGUCACACUGGAACUGAGACACGGUCCAGACUCCUACGGGAGGCAGCAGUGGGGAAUAUUGGACAAUGGGCGAAAGCCUGAUCCAGCCAUGCCGCGUGUGUGAAGAAGGUCUUCGGAUUGUAAAGCACUUUAAGUUGGGAGGAAGGGCAGUAAGUUAAUACCUUGCUGUUUUGACGUUACCAACAGAAUAAGCACCGGCUAACUUCGUGCCAGCAGCCGCGGUAAUACGAAGGGUGCAAGCGUUAAUCGGAAUUACUGGGCGUAAAGCGCGCGUAGGUGGUUCGUUAAGUUGGAUGUGAAAGCCCCGGGCUCAACCUGGGAACUGCAUCCAAAACUGGCGAGCUAGAGUAUGGCAGAGGGUGGUGGAAUUUCCUGUGUAGCGGUGAAA